CAGAGGAGGGAAAGGCAGUUUCCUUAGACCCACUGCUUUCUCUAGUCUCCAUUGUGCUUAUUACACCUUGACACGUGUUUGCUAACUUGUUUGUUGACUUCUCUCCCGGACCCUCGACUUCAUUCACUGCUGUAUUCUCAGUACCUAGAACAGUGCUUGGAACGUGGCGGGUGCACAUAUUGGUGGAAAGAACGAUUCCCGGGAGAGCGGGGCUCAGCGACAUCGCCAAGUGAUCUGUAGUCUUGGAGCCGCCCAGGGUUGGUGGUACCCUAGAGCACACCAGACUUGCAGAGAAAGCAGACUCAGAGGAAGCUGAGGCAUAACUGCUCAAGAGCCAGCAGUACGAUGUGCAAUUUUCCUCUGAUAGUUCCUGGGUACUGUUGCCACGGUGAUAAUGGCUGUGCCAGUGCCGUUAUCUAUCAACCGACAAUUCCUGGAUUCCAGGUAAAUCAGAGGAACAAACCUGAACAGAAAUAUACAGGAAGUGAUGUGAUGCUGAAGCUUAACGCUUAUUUCAGAAGUCUGGUAUCUGGUGCUCUUAACAGCAGAAACUAUAUUAUUUGCAAAAUCACCACGCUUUUACUUGUAUUAUAUAGUAAUUUUUUAAAAAAUAAAUAUUGACAAUUUGUUCUUGAAAGCCUGAAUUGUUUAUUGCCUACCCUAAACUGUCUAAUUCUGCUCUUGUGUCAACUGGAAUAGGGAAGAGUAUUUGCAAGCUUAAGAUCUGAGGAUCCAGGAGUUCCGUGGUGGCUCAGUGGUUAACGAAUCCAACUAGGAACCAUGAGGCCUUGCUCAGUGGGUUGAGGAUCCAGCAUUGCCAUGAGCUGUGGUGUAGGUCGCAGAUGCGGCUCAGAUCUGGUGUUGCUAUGGGCUGUGGUAUAGGCCGGUGGCUACAGCUGACUGAACCACUAGCCUAGGAACCUCCAUAUGCUGUGGCGUAGCCCUAGAAAAGGCAAAAGGACAAAAAAAUCUGAGGAUCCAGAGUUGUAGAGCUAGUCUUGGGCUAGAUCCUUUAAGCUAGUCAUGGGGAGUCAUGCAAGUAUUGUUAGACAUUUUGUUAAAUUGAGAAUACGCCGUCAUUAAAGUUUAAGCAUGAUCAUUGGGCCAGAGAAUCAAAGGCUGUGUUGUCCAAACCGACAGUAGAGUUGCUGUGUACAGUCAAGUAUAGUACGUUUGUCUGGAAUGCAGGGAUGUGGAUGGCAUCUCAGGGCCCUUUCAAGGAGCUAAGUGAGAUGGCUUUGACACCCUGAUCAAGGCCAGGAAAGCAGCUCAGGUAUCUAAACCCCCCAAAUAGAAACAACAGACCUAAAUUUAAGGUUUUAAUAAAACAACCAAAAAUGUCAAAUGUUGAACAUACUCCUUUCUGUCUUUGAUUUAAAAAAAACCACUCAUCAAGUAUUGGCACCAAACAUCAGCGAUUUAAAGAAUCAAGGAAACAGUACAAAAUAUUUCUCUCAAAGCGCCCAACUCAGGUAGAUGAUUUGGCAUGUGAGGUUUGAGUCUUCUCAUUAGAAACUAUAGCAGAAGUGUAGCAAAAGUUGUGACCUCUCUCAUGAGGACAUUGAUGGGAGGUGGGGGUGGGAAGUACACAGAAAUUUAUGAGAAUCCUGAGACUUGGAUCAUAAAAUGUAGUUAGACUCCAAACAAAUCAUCCCACGUACACAUGCUGACUGGGACAUUCUAAAAAUGUUUUUCUUCCCUCUGUUUAUUUAUAGAGACAGCUUCACUAUAUUUAGAAAAAUUUCUCCUUUCUACCCACUCCUCCAAAAGCAAAUUCACCAUGGAACCCAUAGUCGAGGCCUUGGGCAUUUGAGAUUGUUUCCUCCUAUGUAUCAGCCCUAAACGAGGAGAGCGGGUUGUUGAGCCUUACUCGAACCCUCAGCUGGUCCGUGUUUUCAUACCCUAGCUUUAGCCCCAAAAUCCAUGCUGUGUUUUGUUUUUGUUUUUUUGUUUGUUUAUUUCUUUCUUUUUAGGGCCACACCUGUGGCACACCCAGGCUGGGGGUUGAAUUGGAGCUGCAGCUGCCUGCCUAUACCACAGCCGUAGCAACACUGGAUCGGAGCUGCAUCCAUGACCUAAGCCCCUGCUUUCAGCAACAUUGGAUCCUUAACCCACUGAGUGAGGCCAGGGAUUGAACCUACAUCCUCAAGGGGACGAGUCGGGUUCAUAACUCACUGAGCUGCAAAGGAACUCCCAUGCUGGGUUCUGACAAGUGGGUGUGGCUAAUGUACAUGGGGACGCACCCCCAGAGAUGUCUGGGUCCUAGCUGGCCAGAGCACUGGGUAAGUGUCAUUUUAAGAGAAAAGCGGCUGCUUGGGUUGCAGGAGGGGUUGAGCCGCCAAACAUUCCUGAGCUAAAAUAGUCUUUGAAACCCAGAUUUCCAUCAACCUGAGCUGGAACCUGAGACCUUUCUCCAUGAUGCCCAGAGCUACUCAGUAAUUUUAGGGCAUCACUGCAACCCUGGAGUCAACUUGAGUCCCUAAAAAUGAUGUAACGGAGAGAACAAGGCAACGCCCAGCCCUUGGAGAGAAUUGAGAGACUUUUUGCUAGUCCGUAAUGCAAAGAUAGAAAUGGCUGUGGGAUCUCUGCUACCUCUCUCCGCCAAGACAGCUGGUUUUAUAAAUACUUCUCCAGCCACGGGAGUGGCCUCAGUUCUGCUAAUCCCCUACUCUCAUCACGUGGGCUCAGCCUAGAGGCCAGGAGGGAGGCCUCCUUUGGGCCCCCUUCCACUCUAUCACAAAGGUCCUGCUCUCCCGCGCAAGAGGAAGCCAAAUGAUACACUCUAACUUCGGUUAGUUCAGUCUAGAACAGACUGUGGGAGCUGCAGGUAAACAUGCAGUCCCGAAGAAGAAUUUAGGAAAAGGCUGGCUGCCACACCAGAGCUGGUUCUGCUCGGGGAUUUCGAAUGUAGAGGUGUGGGGCCAGGCUUCCAGUCCUAAGCAUCACUAAAUAGUUAGGAUAUCUCUGGGAUUUUCCUUGGAAUUUUCCACCCCUCACUUCUUCCCCUUCCUGAAUUUAUGAAAACUGUACUUGUAAUAUCUGCAAAACGCCUCUUUCAAGAUGUCUUUGUACAACAGCUGUGGAGUGGAGAUGAAUCCCUCUCUGCUCUAUUCCCCUGCUCCCACAUGUUUACCCCCGGAAUAUUGCCAUGCAUGUGUACUCGAAUAAUUCAUUUUAAACCUGCAUUAACCCCAGAAUAAGAGUUCUCAGGCAUUUUAGUCCCUAAAUUAAAUCCUCUGUUCACUCCCUCUUUGGUGAUAGUAUCUUUUUGACAGAUCUGAGCACUUUGGGUUCCUAAGUUUUAUUACCUUCACAAGCAUUUUUUAAAAUCUCACUGUCAGGAGUUCUCAUUGUGGCUCAGCGGGUUAAGAACCAGACUAGUAUUCAUGAGGAUGCGGGUUCUGUCCCUGGCCUCGUUGAGUGGGUUAAAGGUUCCGGUGUUGCCCCACGCUGCUGCCUAGGUCAAAGGCUUGGAUCCCUUGUGGCUGUGGCUGUGGUGUAGGGCGGUAGCCCUAAAAAGCCAAAAAAAAAAAAAACAAAAACAAAAACAAAAACAAAAACCUUUCAAAAUCUUAGGUCUUUUGAGAAACUUGGAGUAUUUCCUAAGGAGUCCGCCUUACCCCGUGAGGUAGGUAGGGGGCGCUCGUCCAUCUUACUUAGGAAGCAGGGGCACCUAGAGCCAGUCAGUGUUGUCCUGUCCCUGCAUUCAGGGCCUGGGAAGGAAUCGGCUGGCCGGAUUCUAGGGAGACUCAGUUCCCACCCAAGGCCUGUUCUUACUUUAGGGAAUGGUUUCCUUGCUUAGUUUACUAAUAUUAGAAAACAUAUUAGAAGCAAUAAGUUUAAAAGGCCAACAGAAAAGCAGGACGACGCAAUGACUAACAGGUUAGUAGGAGAUUUUAAAAAUUGUGAAGCAGAUAUUCUGGGAUUUUUCUUUUUUUCUUUUUAGAGCUGCAUUCUGGGAGCAUUUGACGUGAGCAGUAGCGAAGAGCUCUCACAGGUCACAACUCUGUGAGCCCUAGAACCCUGUGUAACAAUUCCCAGUCACCAAGAAAAGGAAAUGAUAUUCCACGUGCUUGGGUUAAGAAGUCAGUGUUAUUAGAUUGCCAACCAAAAUACGGCCGAAGUGGGUUAUGUUAAAAAAUAAACUUCCGAGGAAUACUUUUUUCCCUCAUUAUGUCCGAUAAGCAGGGUUUUAUUUCACUCCUGUCAUGUAGCUCAUAUUAAUGCAUGAUGAGCACCUUAGAAACAGUUAAUAAAUUUAGGUGGUGAACUCUAUUGGCCUAGGAGUUUCCAUCGUGGUGCAGUGGUUAACAAAUCCAAUUAGGAACCAUGAGGUUGCGGGUUCGAUCCCUGGGCUUGCUCAGUGGGUUAAGGAUCCAGUGUUGCCGUGAGCUGUGGUGUAGGUCGCAGACUCGGCUCGGAUCCUAUGGUGCUGUGGUUGUGGCGAAGGCUGGUGGCUACAGCUCCAAUUUCACCCCUAGCCUGGGAAUCUCCAUAUGCCGUGGGUGCAGCCCUAAAAACCAAAAAAUUUUUUUUAAUUUUUAAAAAGAAAAAAAAAUAAAUAAAUAAAAGGGAAGGACAUUCCAGGGAGAGGAAACAACACUGCAGAGGCACAAAGGCCCAGGCAUCCUGGGGCGGGGGGAGGGGGUGAGACGGAGUGUUUUUCUUUUUCUUUCCUUUUUUUUCUUUAAAUGGCCACACCCGUGGCAUAUGGAGGUUCCCGGGCUAGGGGUGAAAUCGGAGCUGUAGCUGCUGGCCUUUACCACAGCCACAGCAACAUAGGAUCAGAGCUGUGUCUGGGACCUACACCACAGCUCAUGGCAUGGCCGGAUCUUUAGCCCACUGAGCGAGGCCAGGGAUCGAACUUGUGUCCUCAUGGAUGCUAGUCGGAUUUGUUUCUGCUGAGCCAUGACAGGAACUCCCAGGGUGUUUGUCUAAUAGAAACACAGACAAGUGAAUGCAGCCGAGGGCUGUAGGAUUUCAUCCUCAGCAUGAGAGAAGGUCCCCAGAAGCUGCAGAGUUCCUGAGCGUUGGGCCUGGUAGGCACGUUGAUGAAUUGGAGGUGGCACUGAUGGGGGCGGGGGAGGGGGAGGCCAGCCAGGAGACCGUGUCAAAUGCCACGCCAGGGCUCUGGCCUGUGUCCCGUGAGUGAAGGGCACCAAUGCAAAGGGCAUGCACAUUUGAUACUUUGAGGGUAGGACGGACAGCAUCAGGUGACCGGCCCAUGUGGGCAGGGGACCGGAGAGAAGAGGGCGGGACUCAGGCUCCCCCUCCGUUUCUGGCUUAGCAGCUGGGGCGCAUGCUUGCUGAUGCCGAGACCACAGGCGAGGCAGGAGGAUUGAAGGAGCGAGUCACCUAUUCCUUGCAGUCAUUCUGAGUCUGAGGAGUCUGAAGGGCAUCUGUCUAAAU
rnacentral:lncRNA from 1 species